ensembl:lincRNA
GCAGCAACGCCUCCUUCACGGUCACCUCCAGCUCGGCCGGGCCCUGGGCCAACAGCUCCCUGAGCCUCCGCGGGGGGCUGCGUUCCGGCCUCAGGCUCCACUGCGAGGCACAGAAUGUGCACGGGGUCCAGGGCGCUGCUGUCCUGCUGCUGCCAGAUAAGACACCCACCGCCACCAGCUUCUCCAGGGGAGUGCUCCUGGGAAUCGGCAGCACGGCACUCCUUUCCCUCUGCCUCGUCCUCAUCCUCGUGAAGGUACGGAGGACCACACACUCCCAGGCAGAAACCCCAGGACCCAAGUUCUCGCGGAGCAGCACCAUCCUGGAUUACAUCAAUGUGGUCCCUAAAGUCAGGUCCCUGGUAAGUGUACCCCCUGUAACCACUGACACUUUGUGUCAACUGGAGAAGUCUAGAAGCUUAACUAAGUGGCUCAGCAGGGGGCCAGGGUCCUCACUUUGUAAACAUCCUGAAGCCUGCACAAGAGGAGAUGUGUGAGGGCUACACCUGCUCUAGGGCGGGUAGCCUGCAUACAGUAUAACGAAGGAAAAGAGGCUUGCUCUUCCCACGUCUGCUCUUGUUGCUUUUGCUGCCUUCCACCUCCAUGAACCAUUGCCCUCCGCCAUGUGCCACCCUACCUGGAGCCAGCCAAGUAUGGACUGAAACCUUCACACACUGUGGGCUAAAUAAACCUUUCCUCCUUUAACUUUGGGUGUUGGGUAUUUUGUCCCAGCAACGAGAGAAAAAUAACUAAAACUGCUGUCCAUUCUGCCCUGGAAGUAAGCACCCUCUUCCCCUUCUGCACAUACCCCUUUCCUGCCUUUCCUACCUUCACCUUGGAGACCUUGAGGGUAGCAAAAGCAUCAAGUACUGGGUUCAGAUCUGACUCCUGCCAAGUCUUCCUGUCUUCCUUGGUUCCCUUCAAUGGUUGGCUGAGGGUUAGAAUACAGGCACUGCCCCAGUAUGCAGUGGUUACUCCACUGGUACCACCACCAAGGACACAACUGCACUUAACUACUUCAUAACUGCGCGUGUGGUUGAGGUGUAAUAUUAAGAACCCUCGACAUUAGUACGAAGCUCUCUCUGAAACCGGCCUGCUCAAGCGUUUCUGCUUCUAUGUGUGUUGUUGAGCACGUCACUCAACUUCCUGCCUCCCCUUGAACUAUCACUGGGGAAGCAGAACUGCCUGACCACCUAGAACGAAAUAUAUCACACCUCUCAAAUACUCAGAAGAAGCCAGACAUGGUGGAGCACACCUGUAACCCCAGCGCUGUGGGAGGCUGAGGUGGGAAGAUUUCAAGUUCAAGUCCAGUCUGGGCAAGUUAGGAACUUACCAAGACCCUGUCUCUCAAAGUAAAAAAUUAAAAAGAGAUGUUGCUCAGUGUGAAGACCCGGGUUUAAAUCCCCAGUACUAAAAAACCUAAAAAUCAGAAGAGUGCCUGGCCCCUACUAAGUGUUCAGUAAACACUGAGUAUGUCAGAAGAUCACAUCUGUCCUAAUCAUGACUCCCAAAUGCACGUCCCCCG